rnacentral:rRNA from 1 species
GAUGAACGCUGACAGAAUGCUUAACACAUGCAAGUCAACUUGAAUUUGGGUUUUUAACUUAGGUUUGGGUGGCGGACGGGUGAGUAACGCGUAAAGAACUUGCCUCACAGUUAGGGACAACAUUUGGAAACGAAUGCUAAUACCUAAUAUUAUGAUAAUAGGGCAUCCUAUGAUUAUGAAAGCUAUAAGCGCUGUGAAAGAGCUUUGCGUCCCAUUAGCUAGUUGGAGAGGUAACGGCUCACCAAGGCGAUGAUGGGUAGCCGGCCUGAGAGGGUGAUCGGCCACAAGGGGACUGAGACACGGCCCUUACUCCUACGGGAGGCAGCAGUGGGGAAUAUUGGACAAUGGACCAAGAGUCUGAUCCAGCAAUUCUGUGUGCACGAUGAAGUUUUUCGGAAUGUAAAGUGCUUUCAGUUGGGAAGAAAGAAAUGACGGUACCAACAGAAGAAGUGACGGCUAAAUACGUGCCAGCAGCCGCGGUAAUACGUAUGUCACGAGCGUUAUCCGGAUUUAUUGGGCGUAAAGCGCGUCUAGGUGGUUAUGUAAGUCUGAUGUGAAAAUGCAGGGCUCAACUCUGUAUUGCGUUGGAAACUGUAUAACUAGAGUACUGGAGAGGUAAGCGGAACUACAAGUGUAGAGGUGAAAUUCGUAGAUAUUUGUAGGAAUGCCGAUGGGGAAGCCAGCUUACUGGACAGAUACUGACGCUGAAGCGCGAAAGCGUGGGUAGCAAACAGG